CAGCCGUAAACUAUGCUCGCUAGGUGUCAGGCAUGGCGCGACUGUGUCUGGUGCCGCAGGGAAGCCGUGAAGCGAGCCACCUGGGAAGUACGGCCGCAAGGCUGAAACUUAAAGGAAUUGGCGGGGGAGCACAACAACGGGUGGAGCCUGCGGUUUAAUUGGACUCAACGCCGGACAACUCACCGGGGGACGACAGCAAUAUGUAGGCCAGGCUGAAGACCUUGCCUGAAUCGCUGAGAGGAGGUGCAUGGCGUAGACGUCU
rnacentral:rRNA from 1 species